rnacentral:rRNA from 1 species
UACAGAGGGGGCAAGCGUUGUUCGGAAUUACUGGGCGUAAAGGGCGCGUAGGCGGCCUGCUAAGUCGAUCGUGAAAUCCCCGGGCUUAACCCGGGAACGGCGACCGAUACUGGUUGGCUUGAAUUCGGGAGAGGGAUGCGGAAUUCCAGGUGUAGCGGUGAAAUGCGUAGAUAUCUGGAGGAACACCGGUGGCGAAGGCGGCAUCCUGGACCGGCAUUGACGCUGAGGCGCGAAAGCCAGGGGAGCAAACGGG